rnacentral:rRNA from 1 species
AGCGAACGCUGGCGGCAGGCCUAACACAUGCAAGUCGAACGAACCUUUCGGGGUUAGUGGCGGACGGGUGAGUAACACGUGGGAACGUGCCUUUAGGUUCGGAAUAACUCAGGGAAACUUGUGCUAAUACCGAAUGUGCCCUUCGGGGGAAAGAUUUAUCGCCUUUAGAGCGGCCCGCGUCUGAUUAGCUAGUUGGUUCAGGUAAUGGCUCACCAAGGCGACGAUCAGUAGCUGGUCUGAGAGGAUGAGCAGCCACAUUGGGACUGAGACACGGCCCAAACUCCUACGGGAGGCAGCAGUGGGGAAUCUUGCGCAAGGGGCGAAAGCCUGACGCAGCCAUGCCGCGUGAAUGAUGAAGGGCUUAGGAUUGUAAAAUUCUUUCACCGGGGACGAUAAUGACGGUACCCGGAGAAGAAGCCCCGGCUAACUUCGUG